CCAGCCACAUGGGCCUCUCUUUACACUCAUAAGGAGGGUUGAUGCAGGACCACAGUACUUUUACACACUGUACCAGCAGAAGGAGUCUCCAUCAAGAUGCCAAAAGCACAUCCUUAUUGUGAGGAACUCCUUAUACAAUAUUAUGAUGGUCUCCAAAAGAGGAAAGGUAGAAUAAACAUUAUUUGAGUUUAGCACUUGAUAAUUUAUGGGUUUAGAGUGUCAGGACAUUAGAGACAACCUUGCAAUGCUCAGCACAACUUGACCAUACAAUUUUUAAAUUAUUAAUUAUAAAUUUCUUAUAUUAGAUAAAGCAAUUAAACCAGUGCUGAUGAAGCCAUGAUGGAGAUGGCCGUGGGAGGAGUAGGCCUAAUUUUCAUGAAUGGAGCUGGUGAGGAGCACUAGAAGAUGCUGGAAUCCUUGUCACGGCCCAGGGUUAUUGUAGUUGAUGCUACAUUCAUUCUAUUUGAAUGAUGCACCAAGACCCAAUCCCCUUCCUUUGGUUCUCCCUGGACAAGAGCCUUGGCAGAGACUCACAGACAUCUAAACUUCGGUCUAGGGGGAGUCAUUAAGACCUCAUUUGUCACCCAUCACAUCUAUCCCUAAAGAGAGAGUGCAAGGACUAUGAAAAUAUCCUGUCCUGGGAUUAGGGAAAUAGGCAGUUGGAGCCAUUUCCUUCCUUGUCUGCUGAUCUAAGAAAGAGAUUCCUUUUCCUAUUUAUGUUCUGGUUUUAAGAAAUUACUAAUUUGAUCAGACUGUGCUCAUGGAUAAGAGACAAUAAGAAGAUGCUGUCUUUAAUUUCUUCGAAUAAUUUAAUAUUCAAUCUUAAUAGAUCUUCCAUUAUGAAGGAUGAAGUAGACAAAAGUUAACUACAGCUUCUGCCUCCAUUCUUGGAAAAGACAUGCCAGCAAUUAGAUGCUGGUGGUGAAGGACUCUUUCCACAAGUUAUGGGAUUACUGUCAUAGUCCUUCAAACAACACAGGACUUGAUGCUGUUUUAACAGUUUUUGUCUGAAAACUACCUUGAUUUUGUUUUUUGCCUGUAUUGUCCUCUUUUAAUCAUUCAACCUGGCUGGGAUUCAGCAAUUUCUGUGUUUCAAACCUUUCGACUGACUUAACCAAUUUUAACACCUUUGCUUCUUUCACUUUGAUCCUUGAAUUAGCUUCCCAGAGAUACUCUAAAAGAUUUAUGAUUAAAACUUCUUUCUGGGUAAAAGAUUAUUAUUAAUAGUAUUUAAUUUUAAUGUUUCCCAUGUUUGCUAUCUGCCCUCUUUUUCUUCACAAGUUUAACAUAACUUUUUCCCUUAUUCUCACAUGUCUAAAACAUCUAUCCCAUCAUCAAUGGUAAGGUCAUUUUGUUUUGCUUAUUUUUCCCCAACAUGUGCAGAUCUGGAGAAAUACUAUAUAACUUCAGAGAUAAUGCUAUUAUCAUCACAUUCACAGUGACAUAAGAAAGCUGAUGACAGUAACUGCUAGAGUAGGUCUAUUAUCUGUUUCUCACCAAAUCUUUACCUGGCUCUUCUCAGAUAAGCUAUUAGACAUGGGCUUUGGGUCACACAGGUCUUGAUCCAAAUCCUGGUUGCACUACUUACUAGCUUUGUGGCUUUGGGGAGUCUUUUAAGUACCCUCAAUUGGUCUAGAUAGGCCAGCUUAUGCUGCAGUAAAAAACAAUCUCAAAAUUUCAAUGGAUUAAAACAAGAAAUGUUUAUUUCUUGCUUAAGCAAAGUCUCAUACAGGUAUGGGCAGCUCUCUAGCACAGCUGUUGUCUUCAUGAUGGCUCAGCAUUAACCAUUCACGUCUACACUGGUUUCCUGGGUCACCAUGGCACAAGAAAGGUUAAGUGGAGAAUUAAGCAUCAACAACUAAAUGUUCCUAUCCAGGAAAAACAACAUUACUUCUGCUUCCUUUUCACUGGACAGAAUUCAUAUGACCACAACUAAUAUCCAUAUGGCAGAGCAUAGCUACUUCCAUGUGCGCAGAAAGAAGACAGAAGUGGAUACCAAUGAACAAUUAUAAUGCCGCAUUCCCUAACCUUCAUUUUCCUCAUCAAUAAAAUGGCAAAGGAUUAUUAUGUCAAGUCAAUAAGAAAAUGUAUAUUAAAUGCUUAGAAUUAAAACUGCAAAC
rnacentral:lncRNA from 1 species